AACGAACGCUGGCGGCAUGCCUAACACAUGCAAGUCGAACGAGACCUUCGGGUCUAGUGGCGCACGGGUGCGUAACGCGUGGGAACCUGCCCUUAGGUUCGGAAUAACUCCCCGAAAGGGGUGCUAAUACCGGAUAAUGUCUUCGGACCAAAGAUUUAUCGCCUUUGGAUGGGCCCGCGUUGGAUUAGCUAGUUGGUAGGGUAAAAGCCUACCAAGGCGACGAUCCAUAGCUGGUCUGAGAGGAUGAUCAGCCACACUGGGACUGAGACACGGCCCAGACUCCUACGGGAGGCAGCAGUGGGGAAUAUUGGACAAUGGGCGAAAGCCUGAUACAGCAAUGCCGGGUGAGUGAUGAAGGCCUUAGGGUUGUAAAGCUCUUUUACCCGGGAUGAUAAUGACAGUACCGGGAGAAUAAGCUCCGGCUAACUCCGUG
rnacentral:rRNA from 1 species